CUGGCUGCUCAGCAAUGGAGCCAGUACAGACAGUCUAGAGGAAAUCAUGUAGGAAAACCUACACUUUAGAACACAUAAUUCAUAUUUCAAGAUACCCUCUGUACUUCAAAUUUUGCUGAGAAUUCUCCUUCAGGUGUCCUUUACACUAAUCCCACCCUCCAGCCAAUGUAGGUUUUUUGAAGAAGGUGCAGGUGACAGAGAACUUGCUCCAGCAGAUGGCCAGAGUCCAAGGAGACAUGGAGACUGGACUGAAAGGAGAUAAAUUUGAGAAGCAUCAGCUAUCUGGAAAGAAACUUGAUUUUCAUGACGUCUUGGGGAUGACUUUUAUCCCACAUCCAUUUUUGUGGGUGGUGGUUUUUUGUCUUGUGUCUGGAAUGGUCAUUGCCCUCUGCCCCAUCCCUGCCUGGCUCCAUGAGUAUGGUGAUGUGUGAGGGUCAGCCUGGGAUCCCGUGGGAGCUGGGGGCUGAGGGGCGCCCGGGGCCGGUGUGUGCCAUGCCCAGAACCUGCCAUGUCCUGCUGUGCCACCCUUCUGCCCGACCUCGGGACCUGCCAUGGCCGGUGAGCUACCCAGGGG
rnacentral:lncRNA from 1 species